CGGGCUGAGUGCGGUUACCGCUCCGCCUCCCUCCGCCGCCAUUUACUGCGCUCCAACCCCGCCGCGGACGUGCCAGCACUAACACUGACAGCGGUCGCAGCAACGGCAGCAACAGCGACGGCAGCAGCAGCGCCAGACCCGGAUGUGAGGCCGAAGAUGAGGAAACUGAGCCUAAGAGGGCCAUACAACUAGUAACUAUCUGAGGCAGAAUUUGAACUCAUCUCUUCCUGACUCCAAGUCCAGUACUCCAGCCAUUGUGCCAUCUUUAUAUAUUACAGAAUAAUAAAGUGGAGGAAUUCCAUGGAGACUGGAACAACCUCCAGGAAUUGAUGCAGAGCAAAAGGAGCAGAACCAGGAGAACAUUGUACACAGAGACUGAUACACUGUGGUACAAUAGAAGGAGUCUCCAGGACCAAGGAGAACUUGAGAAUAGCCUGUACUUUCUAGAGUUGGAUUUUCUCUUCCACCAGAGACCUCAAAUCUUGAUCCGUGCAAACAAAAAUAAAAAUUCCUGAAUGUUUUGCUUAAAAGAAAUCCCAUCCAAUCUAAAAUCAACUCAGAAAUGUACCUUGGCUGCCUCUAUCCUGGAGGCCCCUCCCUCCCUCUGAUUGGAGGGGGUGUAGAAUGGACAUUGGAGGACUCAUCCCAGAUGCACCAUUAUUAAAGGAUGGCACCCAGGUAAUUCUCUUCAUCAUUUCCUACCUGACUACUUCCCUGGACUUCAUCAUCUUCAGAAAUUAAUCAUUCUUCAAGAUGAAAUUGACAUUUCCUACUCUGACUAAAUGACUUCAUCAGGUAUACCACCAUUGGAUUGUGAGCUCCUUGAGGGUAUGGACUGCCUUAUACUCCUCUUUAUAUCCUCAACACUUAGCACAGUUCUUUGCACAUAAACAGCAUUUAAUAAAUGAUUUUUGACUCUAACUCUAAAGACUCA
rnacentral:lncRNA from 1 species